rnacentral:tRNA from 1 species
AGAGGUAUAGCCAAGUGGUAGGUGCUUGCCUAGCAUGUGAGAAGCCCUGGGUUCAAUCCCCAGCACUGCCC